rnacentral:rRNA from 1 species
UACGGAGGGGACUAGCGUUGUUCGGAAUUACUGGGCGUAAAGCGCUCGUAGGCGGAUUUGUAAGUCAGGGGUGAAAUCCCGGGGCUCAACCUCGGAACUGCCUUUGAUACUGCAAAUCUCGAGUCCGGAAGAGGUGAGUGGAAUUCCUAGUGUAGAGGUGAAAUUCGUAGAUAUUCGGAAGAACACCAGUGGCGAAGGCGGCUCACUGGACCGGCAUUGACGCUGAGGUGCGAAAGCGUGGGGAGCAAACAGG